UGCCUUAUAGCUUAAUGGUAAAGCAACAUCCUUCUAAGAUGUUAUAUCUAAGUUCAAAUCUUAGUAAGGUAA
rnacentral:tRNA from 1 species